rnacentral:rRNA from 1 species
UACGUAGGGUGCAAGCGUUAAUCGGAAUACUGGGCGUAAAGCGUGCGCAGGCGGUUUUGUAAGUCAGAUGUGAAAUCCCCCGGGCUUAACCUGGGAACUGCGUUUGAAACUACAAGGCUAGAGUGUGGCAGAGGGGGGUGGAAUUCCACGUGUAGCAGUGAAAUGCGUAGAGAUGUGGGAGGAACACCGAGUGGACGAACGGCAGCCCCCUGGGUUAAC